UACGGAGGAUGCGAGCGUUAUCCGGAUUUACUGGGUGUAAAGGGAGCGUAGGCGGCUCUGUAAGUCUGAUGUGAAAAUUUGGGGCUCAACCCCAAACGUGCAUUGGAAACUGCAGGGCUUGAGUGCCGGAGAGGCAGGCGGAAUUCCUAGUGUAGCGGUGAAAUGCGUAGAUAUUAGGAGGAACACCAGUGGCGAAGGCGGCCUGCUGGACGGUAACUGACGCUGAGGCUCGAAAGCGUGGGGAGCAAACAGG
rnacentral:rRNA from 1 species